rnacentral:rRNA from 1 species
UACGUAGGGCGCAAGCGUUGUCCGGAAUUAUUGGGCGUAAAGAGCUCGUAGGCGGCUUGUCACGUCGGUUGUGAAAGCCCGGGGCUUAACCCCGGGUCUGCAGUCGAUACGGGCUAGCUAGAGUGUGGUAGGGGAGAUCGGAAUUCCUGGUGUAGCGGUGAAAUGCGCAGAUAUCAGGAGGAACACCGAUGGCGAAGGCAGCUCGCUGGGACGGUACUGACGCUGAGGCGCGAAAGCGUGGGGAGCAAACAGG